rnacentral:tmRNA from 1 species
GGGGGCGUAAAGGUUUCGACGGGGAUGUUGAAGCAGGAUAAGCGAGUAGCGGUGCGGGACCGCUCUAAUACCCGCAAUGUUUAAAUAUAAACGCUAAUAAUAAUUACGAAUUAGCUGCUGCGUAAAUAACGCACAGCCGUCCUGCCUUUGAGUACUGCGGCAAAGGUUUGGAUGUCAUCUAAGCAGUGAACGUGAGCCGGCUAAGCUUUGCCCCGGCCAUGAUCUAUGAAGCUACCAUUUGGCAAGUUUGUUAUUUUUCUUGCCAUCUAAGGGAAUCUGAAAAAUAAAUGCACUCGGAGAAAGUCCUGUGAAUAUGUUUUCGGACGCGGGUUCGAUUCCCGCCGCCUCCACCA